rnacentral:lncRNA from 1 species
UGAAAUAAUCAUGGUCUUCCAUGUCAGACCAUGAUUGUCAUGAUUGUCAAUCAUGCUCCUCCAGAAAUGAGGAGCAUAUAUCAUGGAGUUCAAAGUACAUGAUUGUGAUAUGAACUAUUCCACAAUAUCUUCACUCUGAGCUUCUAAAAAUAGGUUGUGAUUUUCUUUGUUUAACUUACUAUGUGUAGUUUACUGACAGUUUUAAAGGUCUUUGGGGAUUACUGAAAAUACUAACUAGGUAGAUUAUUUCACCCACAGUAUUCUAGUAAAUGCAUAUUUGGUUGCAAGGAAGACUUAUUUUAAAGAGUACUCAUAAAUAAGAC